AACAGGAUUAGAUACCCUGGUAGUCCACGCUGUAAACGAUGUCGACUUGGAGGUUGUGCCCUUGAGGCGUGGCUUCCGGAGCUAACGCGUUAAGUCGACCGCCUGGGGAGUACGGCCGCAAGGUUAAAACUCAAAUGAAUUGACGGGGGCCCGCACAAGCGGUGGAGCAUGUGGUUUAAUUCGAUGCAACGCGAAGAACCUUACCUACUCUUGACAUCCAGAGAAUUCGCUAGAGAUAGCUUAGUGCCUUCGGGAACUCUGAGACAGGUGCUGCAUGGCUGUCGUCAGCUCGUGUUGUGAAAUGUUGGGUUAAGUCCCGCAACGAGCGCAACCCUUAUCCUUUGUUGCCAGCGAGUCAUGUCGGGAACUCAAAGGAGACUGCCGGUGAUAAACCGGAGGAAGGUGGGGAUGACGUCAAGUCAUCAUGGCCCUUACGAGUAGGGCUACACACGUGCUACAAUGGCAUAUACAAAGAGAAGCGAACUCGCGAGAGCAAGCGGACCUCAUAAAGUAUGUCGUAGUCCGGAUUGGAGUCUGCAACUCGACUCCAUGAAGUCGGAAUCGCUAGUAAUCGUAGAUCAGAAUGCUACGGUGAAUACGUUCCCGGGCCUUGUACACACCGCCCGUCACACCAUGGGAGUGGGUUGCAAAAGAAGUAGGUAGCUUAACCUUCGGGAGGGCGCUUACCACUUUGUGAUUCAUGACUGGGGUGAAGUCGUAACAAGGUAACC
rnacentral:rRNA from 1 species